rnacentral:rRNA from 1 species
CCUACGGGAGACAGCAGUGAGGAAUAUUCGUCAAUGGGCGGGAGCCUGAACCAGCCAAGUCGCGUGAGGGAAGACGGUCCUAUGUAUUGUAAACCUCUUUAGGCGGGGAGCAAUGCCGGGCACGCGUGCCCGGAGGGAGAGUACCCGCAGAAUAAGCAUCGGCUAACGCCGUGCCAGCAGCCCCGGUAAUACGGAGGAUGCGAGCGUUAUCCGGAUGUAUUGGGUUUAAAGGGUGAGUAGGCGGAUUUUUAAGUCGGCGGUAAAAUGUCCGGGCUCAACCCGGGCCGGCCGUUGAAACUGGGGAUCUUGAGUGGGCGAGAAGUAUGCGGAAUGCGUGGUGUAGCGGUGAAAUGCAUAGAUAUCACGCAGAACUCCGAUUGCGAAGGCAGCAUACCGGCGCCCGACUGACGCUGAGGCACGAAAGCGUGGGGAUCGAACAGGAUUAGAUACCCUUGUAGUC